rnacentral:rRNA from 1 species
GAGUUUGAUCCUGGCUCAGGACGAACGCUGGCGGCGUGCCUAACACAUGCAAGUCGAACGAGGAUCGUGACUUCGGUUGCGAUUCGAGUGGCGGACGGGUGAGUAACACGUGAGGAACCUGUCUCUUACAGGGGGAUACCCGUGAGAAAUCACGGCUAAUACCGCAUGAGACCACAGAGUCGCAUGGCUCAGGGGUCAAAGGAGCAAUCCGGUAAGAGAUGGCCUCGCGUCCCAUUAGCUAGUUGGCGGGGUAACGGCCCACCAAGGCAACGAUGGGUAGCCGGCCUGAGAGGGUGAACGGCCACACUGGGACUGAGACACGGCCCAGACUCCUACGGGAGGCAGCAGUGGGGAAUAUUGGGCAAUGGGGGCAACCCUGACCCAGCAACGCCGCGUGAGAGAAGAAGGUUCUUGGAUCGUAAAUCUCUGUCUUUGGGGAAGAAGAAAGUGACGGUACCCAAGGAGGAAGCCCCGGCUAACUACGUGCCAGCAGCCGCGGUAAUACGUAGGGGGCGAGCGUUGUCCGGAAUUACUGGGCGUAAAGGGCGCGUAGGCGGCAAUAUAAGUCUAAUGUGAAAGCCCCAUUUUCAAGGUGGGGAUUGCAAUAGAAACUGUAUAGCUUGAGUGCAGGAGAGGGAAGUGGAAUUCCGAGUGUAGCGGUGAAAUGCGUAGAUAUUCGGAGGAACACCAGUGGCGAAGGCGACUUUCUGGACUGUAACUGACGCUGAGGCGCGAAAGCGUAGGGAGCAAACAGGAUUAGAUACCCUGGUAGUCCACGCUGUAAACGAUGAAUGCUAGGUGUAGGGGGUAUCAACGCCCUCUGUGCCGGAGUAAACACAAUAAGCAUUCCGCCUGGGGAGUACGGCCGCAAGGUUGAAACUCAAAGGAAUUGACGGGGGCCCGCACAAGCAGCGGAGCAUGUGGUUUAAUUCGAAGCAACGCGAAGAACCUUACCAGGGCUUGACAUCCUGCUGACAGGCGUGUAACGGCGCCCUUCUUCGGACAGCAGUGACAGGUGGUGCAUGGUUGUCGUCAGCUCGUGUCGUGAGAUGUUGGGUUAAGUCCCGCAACGAGCGCAACCCUUGUCAUUAGUUGCCAUCAGGUUAUGCUGAGCACUCUAAUGAGACUGCCGGGGACAACUCGGAGGAAGGUGGGGAUGACGUCAAAUCAUCAUGCCCCUUAUGUUCUGGGCUACACACGUGCUACAAUGGCCGGUACAAUGGGAUGCAAUAUCGCGAGGUGGAGCAAAUCACCAAAACCGGUCCCAGUUCGGAUUGUAGGCUGAAACCCGCCUGCAUGAAGUCGGAGUUGCUAGUAAUCGUGAAUCAGAAUGUCACGGUGAAUACGUUCCCGGGUCUUGUACACACCGCCCGUCACACCAUGGAAGUUGGGGGCGCCCGAAGUAGGUCAAUUAAUAGGUCUCCUAAGGCGAAAUCAAUGACUGGGGUGAAGUCGUAACAA